AUUGAACGCUAGCGGGAUGCUUAACACAUGCAAGUCGAACGGAGCGGCGGACGGGUGAGUAAUGCCUAGGAAACUGCCUGGUAGUGGGGGAUAACGUCCGGAAACGGGAGCUAAUAUCGCAUACUAUCAGAUGAGCCCAGGUCGGAUUAGCUAGUAGGUGGGGUAAUGGCCUACCAAGGCGACGAUCCGUAACUGGUCUGAGAGGAUGAUCAGUCACACUGGAACUGAGACACGGUCCAGACUCCUACGGGAGGCAGCAGUGGGGAAUAUUGGACAAUGGGCGAAAGCCUGAUCCAGCCAUGCCGCGUGUGUGAAGAAGGUCUUCGGGUUGUAAAGCACUUUAAGUUGGGAGGCGUUACCAGCAGAAUAAGCACCGGCUAACUCCGUGCCAGCAGCCGCGGUAAUAC
rnacentral:rRNA from 1 species